rnacentral:rRNA from 1 species
UACGUAGGGAGCAAGCGUUGUUCGGAUUUACUGGGCGUAAAGGGCGCGUAGGCGGCGCGGUAAGUCACUUGUGAAAUCUCUGAGCUUAACUCAGAACGGCCAAGUGAUACUGCAGUGCUAGAGUGCAGAAAGGGCAAUCGGAAUUCUUGGAUGUAGCGGUGAAAUGCGUAGAUAUCAAGAGGAACACCUGAGGCGAAGGCGGGUUGCUAGGCUGACACUGACGCUGAGUGCGCGAAAGCCAGGGGAGCAAACGGG